UCGAGGGGCAGGGUAAAGUGAAGGCGGCUGUGAAGGAAGGAAGAGCGAGAGUUUGCCUCCCCUGCAGCUGCUCCCUUGGAUCUGGAGGUGGGCAGCAAAAGAGAUGCGUCACUGCUUGCGGAGCCAUUUGGCUCAAGAGGAAGCAGGUGACAAUAGGAAGAUGAAGAAUGGUGAAGAACCGAGCGAGGGAUUGCUAGGAGGUGACAGAUGGAAAAAGAGAAACCAGAAGAGACUAAAAACUGGAGCAGAAGGGAAGAGCAGGAGUGGAUCACCUGCUUCUCAGCAUGAAAUCCAAAAUGUAAUGAAUCAAGAAAGAGAGAAAAGCCUGUGCCCUCCUCGUAGGAAAGGUUUGAGUCUUGAGCCAAGCUUUGAACCUCAAUGGGAAAUGCACACAGAGAAGAAACUAUGUGAGAGCUUGGAGUGUGGAAAUGGCUUCAGCACGGGUGAACCUCUUACUUUGCACCAUAGAACCUACACUGAGGAGAAAACAUAUGAAUGCUUGGAGUGUGGAAAGGGCUUCAGCAUAAGGGAAGCUCUUAUUGUACACCAUAGAACACACACUGGGGAGAGGCCAUAUGAAUGCUUGGAGUGUGGGAAGAGUUUCAGCCAGAGUGGAAAUCUUACAUUACACCAGAGAAGCCACACUGGGGAGAGGCCAUAUGAAUGCUUGGAGUGUGGAAAGAGCUUCAGCCGAAGUGGAAAUCUUAAACGACAUCUUAGAAGCCAUACUGGAGAGAAACCAUAUGAAUGCUUGGAGUGUGGAAAGAGCUUCAGCAGCAUUGGAGCUCUUAGUGCUCACCAAAGAACCCACACAGGAGAGAAACCAUAUGAAUGCUUGGAGUGUGGUAAGAGCUUCAGCCAGAGUGGAGAUCUUAAAAACCAUCAUAGAAUUCACACUGGGGAGAAGCCAUAUGAAUGCUUGCAGUGUGGAAAGAGCUUCAGCAGGAGUGGACUUCUUACAUUACACCGUAGAAGCCACACUGGGGAGAAACCAUAUGAAUGUUUGCAGUGUGGGAAGAGGUUCAGCCAGAGUAGAAAUCUUGCAUUACACUGUAGAACCCAUACUGGUGAGAAGCCAUAUGAAUGUUUGCAGUGUGGAAAGAGCUUCAGAAGUAAAAGACAUCUUACAUUACACCAUAGAAGCCACACUGGAGAGAAACCAUAUGAAUGCUUGGAGUGUGGAAAGAGCUUCAGCCAGAGUGGACACCUUAAACGACAUCAUAGAACUCACACUGGGGAGAAACCUUAUGAAUGCUUGGAGUGUGGAAAGAGCUUCAGCAGGAGUGGAACUCUUACUGCUCACCAAAGAACUCACUCAGGAGAGAAACCAUAUGAAGGCUUGGAGGAGAGCUUUUCUUGUGGUAGCAAGCAUGACUUGUCCCCUUAGCUAAGCAGGGUCCACCCUGGUUGCAUAUGAAUGGGAGACUUUAUGUGUGAUCACUGUAAGAUAUUCCCCUUAGCAGAUGGAGCCACUCUGGGAAGAGUAGAAGGUUCCAAGUUCCCUCCAUGGCAUGUCCAAGAUAGGGCUGAGAGACAUUUCUGCCUGCAACCGUGGAAGAGCUGCUGCUAGUCAGUGUGAACAAUACUGAGCUAGAUGGACCUAUGGUCUUACACAGUAUAUGGUAGCUUCUUAUAUUCCUAUGAUUGUGGAAUUAGCCUCCACUGGAUUUGAGUUCUUGCAUUACACCAUAGAAGCCACACUAGGGAGAAACCACAUGAAUGCUUCGAGUGUGGAAAUAGCUUCGCCCAGAGUGGACAUCUUAAAUGACAUCAUAUAACCCGCACUGGGGAGAAAGCAUAUGAAUGCUCCAAGUGUGGAAAGUGCUUUAGCAGGAAUGACACUCUUAGUUUACACCUUAGAACACAUACUGGAUAGAAAUCGCAUACAUGCUUGGAAUUUGGACAGAGGUUCAGCAGGAGUGAAUCUCUUACUAGGCAUCAUAGAAUCCACACUGAGGAGAACCCAUUUAAAUUUCUUUGUGUGUGGCAAGAUCUUCAGCUGGAAUGAAGAACAACUUAUACAUCCUAGAAACCAUGCCUGCAGUGUGGAAAGAGCUUCAGGUGAAAGCAAUGCCUUGCACAUGUGCAAACUCAUAGACAUGAAACUUCAGAAAAGCCUGGGAAUCUUCCUCAUUUGUGUGAAACAUGAAACCUCAUAAGAUUUCUUCCUUUGAUUCAAUUUGCUUUUACCUUUGUUGCUUUUGAAGUGUCCUGGGAACCAGUUUUGGCAGAUGUGUUUUUGUGUCCCUGCUGUGGCAGACCUGGCAGGAAAUUGCAUGUGACAAUUGGAAGAUGAAAAAUGGGGGGAAACCCAGCAGAGGAUUGUUAGGAGGUGACAGACAGAAAAAGGGAAACCAGAAGAGACUAAAACCUGGAGCAGAAGGGAAGAGCAGGAGUGGAUCACCUGCUUCUCAGCAUGACAUCCAAAACGUCAUGAAUCAAAGAAGAGGGAAAAGCCUGUGCCCUCCUCAUAGGAAAAAAGCUUUGGAGCCAAACUUUGAACCUCAGUGGGAAAUGCACACAGAGAAGAAACUAUGUGAGAGCUUGGAGUUUAGAAAUGACUUCAACAGGGGUGGAGCUCUUACUCUGACACAUAGAACUUGCACUGAAGAGAAAACACAUAAAUGCUCUAUGUGUGGAAAGAGCUUCAGACAACGUGGAUAUCUUACAUUACACCAUAGAACCCACACUGGGGAGAAACCAUAUGAAUGCUUGGAGUGUGGAAAGAGCUUCAGCUGUAGUGGACAUCUUAUAUGACACCAUAGGAACCACACUGGGGAGAAACCAUAUGAAUGCUUGGAGUGUGGAAAGAGGUUCAGCCAGAGUGGAAAUCUUACAUUACACCACAGAACCCACACUGGAGAGAAACCAUAUGAAUGUUUCGUGUGUGGAAAGAGGUUCAGCCAGAGUAGAAAUCUUACACUACACCACAGAAUCCACACUGGAGAGAAACCAUAUGAAUGUUUCGAGUGUGGAAAAAGCUACAGCCGUAGUGGAAAACUUGUAUUACACCAUCGAAGCCACACUGGUGAGAAACCACAUAAAUGUCUGGAGUGUGGAAAGAGCUUCAGUAGUAAUAGACAACUCACGGUACACCAUAGAACCCACACUGGGGAGAAACCACAUAAAUGCUUGGAGUGUGGAAUGAGGUUCAGCCGGAGUGGAGAUCUUGUAUUACACCAAAGAACCCACACUCGGGAGAAACCAUAUGAAUGUUUGGAGUGUGGAAAAAGCUACAGCCGUAGUGGACAACUUGCAUUACACCGUAGAAGCCACACUGGUGAGAAACCACAUAAAUGUCUGGAGUGUGGAAAGAGCUUCAGUAGUAAUAGACAACUCACGGUACACCAUAGAACCCACACUGGGGAGAAACCACAUAAAUGUUUGGAGUGUGGGGAAGAGCUUCAGCCAGAGUGGACAUCUUAUACGACAUAAGAGAACCCACACUGGGGAGAAACCACAUAAAUGUUUGGAGUGUGGGAAGAGCUUCAGCCACAGUGGAAAUCUUAAAAAACAUCAUAGAACCCACACUGGGGAGAAACCAUAUGAAUGCUUGGAGUGUGAGAAGAGAUUCAGCUGGAGUGGACAACUUAAACGACAUCAUACAAUGCACACUGGGGACAAACAAUAUAAAUACUUCGAGUGUGGAAAGAGGUUCAGCCAGAGUUGACAUCUUACAUUACACAAUAGAAGCCACACUGGGGAGAAACCAUAUAAAUGCUUGGAGUGUGGAAAGAGUUUUAGCAGCAGUGAAUCUCUUACUAGGCAUCAUAGAAUCCACACGGGAAAUACCAUUUAAAUUGCUCUGCGUGCUGAAAGAUCUUCAGCUGGAAUGAAAAACUUCUUAUACAUAAUAGAAACCAUGCUUCCAUUGUGGAAAGAGCUUCAGGAGGAAGCAAUGCCUUACUGCAUAUGUGCAAACUCAUACAUAGUAUAAAUAAUACACAUGAAACAUCAGACAAGCCUGGGAAUCUUCCUCAUUUGUGUGAAAUAAAAAACCUAAAGAUUUUUUCUUUUGGUUAUUUGCUUUCCCCUGUUUCUGAAGUGUCUUGGGAACCAGUAUUGGCAGAUGUGAAUUUUGUGACCAUGUUAUGUAUAAAUCUGCAUGAUCAGCUCUAUUAAUGAAUAGUGUUUUACAACC